AGGUAGUACCAACAAGGAAAACCCAUAAAACUUGGCGGCUCCAAUAUCUAGAGGAACUCGCCUUAUAAUCGACAACCCCCGCUAAUUUUCACUCUAAUACCGCUUAUAUACCGCCGUUUCAGAUAUAGGCCCCACCCGCAUAUCCAACCAGUGCCCCCUUCAAAAUCAGGUCAAGGUGUAGCUCUUAUUAAAGUUUAGGUAAGUUACAUUAAGAAAUACUUAAGGACCUCAUCCAAAGCCCAUCAGAAAAAGAAUCAAGAAGUACAAAACCAGAUAAUAUCCUUUCUAGAAAUCCCUUAACAGAGUGC
rnacentral:rRNA from 1 species